rnacentral:rRNA from 1 species
AGCAGCCGCGGUAAUUCCAGCUCCAAUAGCGUAUAUUAAAGUUGUUGCAGUUAAAAAGCUCGUAGUUGAAUUUCGGGGUUAGUAGGUUGGUCGUGCCACUGGUACGUACUGGUCUCACUGACUCCUCCUUCCUGAUGAACUGUAAUGCCAUUAAUUUGGUGUUGCAGGGAAACUGGACUGUUACUUUGAAAAAAUUAGAGUGUUUAAAGCAAGCUAACGCUUGAAUACAUUAGCAUGGAAUAAUGAAAUAGGACGUUCGAUCCUAUUUUGUUGGUUUCUAGGAUUGACGUAAUGAUUAAUAGGGAUAGUUGGGGGCAUUAGUAUUCAAUUGUCAGAGGUGAAAAUUCUUGGAUUUAUUGAAGACUAACUACUGCGAAAAGCAUUUGCCAAGGAUGUUUUCAUUAAUCAAGAACGAAAGUUAGGGGAUCGAAGACGAUCAGAUACCGUCGUAGUCUUAACCAUAAAACUAUGCCGACUAGGGAUCGGAUGAUGUUAAUUUUUUAAUGACUCGUUCGGCGCC